AGCGAACGCUGGCGGCAGGCUUAACACAUGCAAGUCGAGCGGGCAUCCCGGUGGUGUCAGCGGCAGACGGGUGAGUAACGCGUGGGAACGUGCCCUUCGGUUCGGAAUAACUCAGGGAAACUUGAGCUAAUACCGGAUACGUGCGAGAGCAGAAAGGUUUAUCUGCCGAAGGAUCGGCCCGCGUCUGAUUAGCUAGUUGGUGAGGUUAUGGCUCACCAAGGCGACGAUCCGUAGCUGGUCUGAGAGGAUGAUGAGCCACACUGGGACUGAGACACGGCCCCGACUCCUACGGGAGGCAGCAGUGGGGAAUAUUGGACCAUGGGGGCAACCCUGAUCCAGCCAUGCCGCGUGAGUGAUGACGGCCUUAGGGUUGUAAAGCUCUUUUCUCCGGGACGAUAAUGACGGUACCGGAUGAAUAAGCCCCGGCUAACUUCGUG
rnacentral:rRNA from 1 species